rnacentral:rRNA from 1 species
GUGGGGAAUAUUGCACAAUGGGCGAAAGCCUGAUGCAGCAACGCCGCGUGAGGGACGACGGCCUUCGGGUUGUAAACCUCUUUUAGUAGGGAAGAAGCGAAAGUGACGGUACCUGCAGAAAAAGCACCGGCUAACUACGUGCCAGCAGCCGCGGUAAUACGUAGGGUGCAAGCGUUAUCCGGAAUUAUUGGGCGUAAAGAGCUCGUAGGCGGUCUGUCGCGUCUGCUGUGAAAACUGGAGGCGCAACCUCCAGCCUGCAGUGGGUACGGGCAGACUAGAGUGCGGUAGGGGAGAUUGGAAUUCCUGGUGUAGCGGUGGAAUGCGCAGAUAUCAGGAGGAACACCGAUGGCGAAGGCAGAUCUCUGGGCCGUAACUGACGCUGAGGAGCGAAAGCGUGGGGAGCGAACAGGAUUAGAAACCCUGGUAGUCC